rnacentral:rRNA from 1 species
UAGGGAAUCUUCGGCAAUGGACGAAAGUCUGACCGAGCAACGCCGCGUGAGUGAAGAAGGUUUUCGGAUCGUAAAACUCUGUUGUUAGAGAAGAACAAGGACGUUAGUAACUGAACGUCCCCUGACGGUAUCUAACCAGAAAGCCACGGCUAACUACGUGCCAGCAGCCGCGGUAAUACGUAGGUGGCAAGCGUUGUCCGGAUUUAUUGGGCGUAAAGCGAGCGCAGGCGGUUUCUUAAGUCUGAUGUGAAAGCCCCCGGCUCAACCGGGGAGGGUCAUUGGAAACUGGGAGACUUGAGUGCAGAAGAGGAGAGUGUAAUUCCAUGUGUAGCGGUGAAAUGCGUAGAUAUAUGGGGGAACACCAGUGGCGAAGGCGGCUCUCUGGUCUGUAACUGACGCUGAGGCUCGAAAGCGUGGGGAGCAAACAGG